GGCCUGGCUGGGCGGUCUUGCCGCAAGGUAAGCACUGCUCUGGUCGGGCCUUUCCUUCUGGGGAACCAGCGUGCUCUUAAUUGAGUGCGUUGGGGAUCCAGGACUUUUACUUUGAAAAAAUUAGAGUGUUUAAAACAGGCGUUUGCUUGAAUACAUUAGCAUGGAAUAACGGAAUAGGAC
rnacentral:rRNA from 1 species